rnacentral:lncRNA from 10 species
AGUGCUACAACCCACUUCAACAGCCGCCCAGCAGUUCCUCUCUUCUCUCUGUUGUUUCAUUAUAUGGCCAGUCUUCACAAAGCUAUGGGAGAGAUCUUCAAAAAUACAAAUCAGCUUAGGAAACCCUCCUGUUGAUAUCCCUCCUGUGAUUUAUCUUUACAUUUGUAAUAAAAUCUAAACUUCUCCUGCAGCCUGAAGGUCCUACCUGAUCUGACGCUUGCCUACCUAUUUCGCUGUAUCUUCUUCCAAUCCUCCUACCACUCUGUCCCAUAUUCACCACACUCCAGCCUCACUGGCCUUCCUUCUGUGCCCUGGACACACAAAGGACACCAUCAGCUCAGGACUUUGAUUUCGUCUCUUUUAAACUUAGAAUAUUUUCUCCCAGAUCUCGCUGUAGCUGGCUGUUCCUUGUCAUUUAGAUCUCAGUUUGUGUAUCAGUUUCUAAGAUAAUUCUUUCCUGGCCACCCUGCCUAAAGCAGCUUCCACAAUGGGUCCUUCUUCUUAAAAUGUAUUUAUUUUCGUUCUGUUUCAUUUUCUUCAUAGGACUUAGCACUUUCUGAAAUCAUCUCAUGUAUAUCUAUCAUAUUAUAUCAUAUUAUAUCUUUAUCCACUUACCCAUCUACUCAUCUAUAUUCAUCCAUCCAUCCAUCCAUCCGUCUUCUAGUGCUCAUAACCAAAGGAUAGCUGACUAACAUAAGGAGAAUAAAGGUCUAGAUUCUUAUUUUUUAUCAUCCAUCUUAUCUUUUACCAUCUACCUUUUACCUCUGUAUCCCUUCACAAAAAGGUAAGCCCAUAACAAAAGAGGAUUGGUUUGACUUAGUCACUAUUGUAGCCUAAGAGCCUGGAACACUGCCUGGAAUGCAGUAAGUGCGCAACAAAUAUUUUCUGAUAGAUAGACUGACUCACUGAAUAACUACUUAUUCAUAGUUUGGAACCCUUGGCUGAGGCUCUUGCAAGGACUCCUUCUCACACAGCACUGGAUCCACCAGAAAGGUACUGAUAUGUCAAAAACUGAGCUCUGACCUUUCCCCAAAAACUGACUCCUCUGCAGUUCUCUCUGUCUUGAUUAGUGAUAGCACCAUUCUGGUACUGAUUCAUGCCAAAUACCUCAGUGUCAUCACUGACUCCUCACUUUCUCUUACCCCACAUCCUAUCCAUCAGCAACUUUUGGCUUAGAUGACCACUUCUGACUACCUGCACUGCUACCGUCUCACCUAAACCACUAAAAUCCCUUCAUCUCGUGCCUACAUUAUGGUAGAGCUCUCUUAACUUCUCCUACUCCUAACCUUGGACUCUUCAUUCUAGCUUCAACAGCAUGAUUCUGUUAAAACAUAAAUCAAAUUAUGCCAUUUCUUUAUCCAAAACCCUCCAGUGCCUUUAUUUUACUCAGAGUAAAACUCAAAGUUCAUUUAGAAAGACCCACAAGUCCUAUACCAUUGACCCCAUCACCUCUUUGAUCUCACCUCUAACAAUGCUUUCUCCUGCUCACUUCUUAACCACACUGGCAUCCUUGUGCCAAUAAGAUGCCAAGCACACCCCAUCUUGCUGACUUUUACAGCACUGCCUUUAAAAACUAGAAGUCUCUGCCCAAGCCACUCCUAUUCUCUUCCCACUUUAUUUUUCACUCUAGCACUUAAAGUCUUUU